CUAUUUCAUAUUAUCUCUUGUUUAGAACAAAAUAAAAUGAAACUGUCAAAGCCUUUCUGCCUCGCUCAGUCCUGGGCUCAAUAGUCCCAUAAAGGGACCUGUGCAAGGAAGCGACUGCUAAAACUUGCUUUUCCUCAGCAAGGUCUCAGUUUUUCUGUGGGUCAUCCAGGUGAGACCCCAACCUGGAGCCAAUAGACCUUCCCAUGGAAAGGUCUUCAUCGUCGCCCUGCUCUGGACCUGCAUUCCUACUUCCAGGCCUUUGCUCCUGACCUGCCUUGCCAGGAGCACCAUUUCCUUCCUGUUUCAAACUCAUCUCACAAAGCCUCCUCUCUGAGUCUUCCACUGAGCCCUCUGAUUUUCUGGUUUGGACUUACAGCAACUCCUACUGGUGAUUCUAAUGUGGAGCUGAUGCCAAGGACAGAGGUGCCCCUAGAGAUCAUGUGUGUCCACCGCUGGGAAUGGUGAGUAGGUCAUUCUGGCUUCCAGGUUCAACAGCAGCUGUCCUUUAGCUCUAUCCAGACCUGUCCUGUGGCAAACUUCUGGCUCAUUCUGCUUAUCCAGCCUCUUGGCAAUUGAUUCUGUGAGUUUGGCCAAAAAGGAUUUGGGCUCUCCUGGCAUGCAGCCAGGCUGUACCUCCCAGCCUUGCAGUUGCACCGGCUGUGUGGGCAAGUUUGGGUCAAUGGGCAAUGAGCAGGAGUAAUGUGACCCCUUCCUGGGCUUACCCAAUGUGUUAGUUCCUGGGGCUGCCAUAACAAAUCACAGACGGGGUGGCUUAAAACAACAGAAAUGUAUGCUCUCACAGUUCUAGAGGCCACAAGUCUGGAAAUCAAGAUGUUGACAGGGUCAUGAUCCCUCUGAAGGCUCUGAGAAGGACCCUUCCUUGCCCCUUCCAGCUGCUGGUGGCUCAUUCCUUGGCUUGUGGCAGCAUCACUCUUAUCUCUGCCUCCAUCUCCACAUGACCUCCCCCAGUUUCUCCUCUUCUGUCUGUAUUUUUCUCCUUCUUACCAGGACAUUCAUCACUGGAUUUAAGGCCCAUCCAGUUACUCCACAAUAAUCUCAUCUUGAGAUCCUUAAUUAUAUCUGCAAAGACUCUCUUUCCAAACAAGGUCACAUUCACUGGUACUGGGGUUAGGACUUGAGCAUAUAUUUUCAGUGGGGGUAGGGGGAAGCCAUGAUUCAAACCCAUGACAUCCCCAGAUGACUUGACUUAGAGGUGGAUGUUCCAUCAUCAUCUUUUUAAGUACUUUUCUCCAAUUCUCUUACUUCUCAUCACUGUACUCACUGCUCGUGGGAAGGAGGAUGUUAAGUAUGCUACUAGGAUUGGACUAAAUUAAUAUUCACACAGGGAUGCAGUGAGGAUGAUGUAGUUUAUUUCCUAAUAUCAGAGCUGGAUGCCUGGCUUACCUCAAACA
rnacentral:lncRNA from 1 species